rnacentral:lncRNA from 1 species
UUUCCACAGGUUGAGAUUGUGGUACCAAAACGAUCUUCCUAUUUAACCACCAAAAUAUGAAAGUAUUAUCUCGCCCUUUAUAAGUGGCAUCAACAUCAUAGUGCCAUGGACGACCCAAUAAAAUGUGACAAUCAUCCAUAUCCACAACAUCACAUAUAAUUUCAUCCUUGUAAUAUUUUCCAAUUGACAAAGAAACCUUACAAAUCUCUAAAACUUGAACUUCCGGGCCCCUUUUAAUCCAUGCAAUCUUGUAUGGCGAAGGGUGUCUCUCGGUCUUCAGAUUUAGAGCCUUUACCACUGCUUUCGAAAUGACAUUCUCACUGCUACCGCUGUCCAUGAUCACAUUGCAUACCUUAUUACGAACAGUGCAUCGAGUCCUGAAGAUCUUGUGUCGUUGCAAGGUAUCUAGCCUUUUUGGAGCAAGCAAAAGGCGUUGGAUGAUGCAUGCCAAUUCUUCCCCUGUAUCUACAUUUGCAACAUCACCACCUUCAUAAUCAUUGUCUUCAAGAUUUUGCUCUUCCCCACUGUCGUCUUCUUCUGCAAAGUUAAUAGAUCGUCUGUCUGGACAGCUAUUUGAAAGAUAACCUGGUUGAUUGCACCGGAAGCACUUUCCCAGAUUAGGACAUGCAUAAGGGUCAUUAUUGGCUCGUGACUGUAUCUGAUUUCUGCCUUGGGUGUUAGAUCGAACAGGAGCAGAAGUUCCUCUUUGAUUUUGUGUUGAAUUUUGGACUGGACUAGCAUCCUUGUGGUUAUUGUUGUUGUUAUUUGAGGUUGUUGCACCCUUUGGAGUAGUAUAAGUUUCUUGAAUUGGUCGUAGAAAAUUUCUUGGAGUACGGGCUGUAGUUCUAUUCAUCUGAUUUUCCACUUUCAUUGCUAAAUUGAUUGCAUCUGUCAUGGUCCAAAUCUCUUGAAGGGCCGGUCGAUCUUGAAUGACUAAUUUCAAGCCUCCUAUAUAACGAGCAAUUAAUUGAGCUUCAGUUUCAGACAAAUUAACUCGAGCAUUUAAUCGAUAGAAUUCCUCUGUAUAUUCAUUUACUGUCCUCUUAUUCUGUCGACAAUUCUGAUACUGCUAGUACAAAAAUUGUUCAUAAUCCAGAGGAAGGAAUCGCCUUUGCAACAAGCGUUUCAUCUUGGGCCAGGUUUGCACAAGUUGCUUUCCUUGUCUUUGACGAUUAAAUUGUAAUUCUUCCCACCAUGCAAAGGCUCCACCUUUUAAUUUGUACGCUACUUGUUUAACUUGACUUUGUUCCAAAAUAUUUAAAUAGUUGAAAAAAUUUUCAACAGUGUGGAUCCAAUCCAAAGAAUCUUCAAUAUUUAAUCGACCGUCAAAACUUGACAAGUCCAUCUUCAUCUUAAAUUUUUGAACAUUGG